rnacentral:lncRNA from 1 species
UUUGCUUGUGAAAAAAACGAAUGCCUCUUCUCUGUGAUUGUGUCUAUUGUCUUUCUUCUUCAUCCUAGCCUUUGUGGCAGGAAAACAACUUUCCUUUUGUAUCCCAAUUGGGUACAAUCAAAAGCAAUUAGAGUGUGGAAUAAUUGAAGGUUUCGGUCAAGAUUUUGGGUAUUUGACUUGGUUUAGGACUAUGACUGAGCUCGAAUAUACACCUUGUGGGCAAUUCUUCCUCAAUAAUUGGUAUCAAAGCUACUUUGGUGGUGGAUUUUAAACUAAAAACAGACCCAUAAUUCAACAGACUCAAGCAGAAACAAGAAUGGAAGAAAGUUGUCCAAUUUUGUGCAGAAAUCGGACCUACAACCUUGUUUUCCGGCCAAUCCAGAG